CCAGUAUUGGGGUUUGUAAGAAAUGGCAGGAAGUCAUCAAAGUGACUGUGAAUAUACUUGGCUGUUUGAUUUCUCAGAGUUGCAACAGUCCAGGAAUUGUGGUGAUCCUUGAGCUGAUCUUCAAUAGCUCUGUACAUGCAAUGGCCAUCUGAAGGAAUCUGUUUAAUCUCCAAGUGCCUUGCUGCCAACAAGGAGGCAAGUUUCUGACUUUCAAGAUGCCUUGCUCCUGUUAAAUUUUCUAUCUCAGCUUCAGCUAUUCUUUCUUCUCUUUCUUUCUCCAAGGCAGCUUUUUUUUCCCGUCUCUUCUGUGCUUUUGAUAUUCGAGGAUGCUGAAUCUGCUGCUCCCGUCCCUCAAGCUCAAAAUUCGCAACCCCAUCAGCUAUAGAAUCUAUCUUAUUCUGCUCAGGCAUAGCUUCCUUCAGCUGCUUUAAUUCCUCCUUGUGCUUCUGUUCAAGUUCUGCCUCUAGUUUGGCGACUUCUUCGGCCAGCUGUUUUCGUCUCUUUUUGUCAUUCUUGGGAACAGCAUUUUUCAUGCCUUGAAUUUUUGCUUGCAGCUCGCGCUUCUCCCUGCGCUGCCGCUUCACGAGCUGCUGCAGCGGCCCGCCGGCCUCCGCCUCCUCGUCCUCGGAGCCCUCCAUGGGCGCCCGCAGGCCCGCGCCCGCCGGACGCCCUCAACCCGACCCCGGCGGGAGCCGCGUGCUUCCGGCAGCGCCGCGCCGCCCGGCCCCGCCCUCCGCCCGCGCCUGGCCGUGCGGGGAGCGCCACGGUGGGCCUGCAGUGCCUCGGCUUCCCCGGCUGCGGCGCCUCCGGGCUCGGCUGUUUGCGGCCCUGCUGUGCUGGGCCCGCCCCGCCGCUGAGAUGGGCGGCUUCUCCCCGCCUCGUUAGCCCUCGCGUUCUGGGACCUGAACCCGGCGGUGGCUGCGUGUCUUUGGUGGGCGGUGUGAGAACGCAGGACGGCGGGUGGGAGAGCCGGCACGGCCGUCCCUGUCUGAUCGAGCGUAAGGCUGAAGCACCCCCUCCUCAUUACUGUCGGUUGGCAAAAAUAGCUGCGGGGCGGCUUGCUCGAAACCCCUGCCUGAUCCAAGGCUGCCUGUGGGUCUGCCUUUAGAAACCUAAAGAGAUAGCUCUGAAAGUAAUGCCUCCUAUUCGUUUCCAUGGAAACUUCAGCAGCUACAAAGAGCACAACAGGUACAAUAGUGCUGUUUGAUAGAGCAGGCUCUCAGCCACAAAACGCUAUUUUUUUCAGCAAAAUUAUCGCUAUUAG
rnacentral:lncRNA from 1 species